rnacentral:rRNA from 1 species
AUUGGACGCUGGCGGCAGGCCUAACACAUGCAAGUCGAGCGGAUGAAGGGGGCUUGCUCCUGGAUUCAGCGGCGGACGGGUGAGUAAUGCCUAGGAAUCUGCCUGGUAGUGGGGGAUAACGUCCGGAAACGGGCGCUAAUACCGCAUACGUCCUGAGGGAGAAAGUGGGGGAUCUUCGGACCUCACGCUAUCAGAUGAGCCUAGGUCGGAUUAGCUAGUUGGUGGGGUAAAGGCCUACCAAGGCGACGAUCCGUAACUGGUCUGAGAGGAUGAUCAGUCACACUGGAACUGAGACACGGUCCAGACUCCUACGGGAGGCAGCAGUGGGGAAUAUUGGACAAUGGGCGAAAGCCUGAUCCAGCCAUGCCGCGUGUGUGAAGAAGGUCUUCGGAUUGUAAAGCACUUUAAGUUGGGAGGAAGGGCAGUAAGUUAAUACCUUGCUGUUUUGACGUUACCAACAGAAUAAGCACCGGCUAACUUCGUG